CGGCUGAAGUUCCGCAUGCAGAUACGGCACUGGAAGGGCUUGUGGCCAGUGUGGAUGCGGAUGUGCCGGGUGAGCUCGUCGGAGCGGGAGAAGCGGCGGUCGCAGCCCUCGGCGGGGCACGGGACCAUGAAUCUUACCACUGCUGAUCUGAAUACCCUAGAUGGCUGGCACACUGCAGUAGAACAACAUUUAUUGUUACGAGUUCUGUGGAACACCAGAAGAAUGUCAGGUUUUCUGCUGAAUCUUUCUACCACUAUGAUUUUUAUUCUACCCUGCACAUUUUGUUUGCUUGUUUCUUUUCUAAAAACACAAAAAGCAGGCAUCCAGUCAUGGGUCUCCAACAACAAGGAUGCUUCCUCAUGUCUCACCAGUACUAUCAAGAUUUUAUAAAUGGUUCUGCAAAUAUCCCAUUUGAUACUUCCUCAGUGAUGCUCCCAGGCUUACAGAUAAAUAUCCAUCCAAGAGUUGUAUUGGAUUGAUGUACAAAUUAUCUUCACGCAAGUAAAUCAGAAUUCCCAGUUCAGUGUUUCAAUAGUUGAAUCUCCACUCAGUUGUCAUAAUUGAUAAAAUGUUCUUUCUUUGUGCAUGACAUAAACUUUGUACUGCCAAUGCAUGUGCUCUCAGGCCAGGCUCCAGUCAAGGGAGAAGGUGAACCUGCCAUAUGCUGGAUGCUGCUGCCUGGCAGCAAGGAUGCUCUGCCACACUGCAUUUUCACCUGAGUCAGAUCAGCUACAGGCUGACCCCCUGGAUGUGGCACAUGCUGAACAGUGGGUGCUGCCUGCAUGUGCAUUGUGGCCCUAAACAGGUCUCAGCCACCAAGCUGCUCAUCUUCUUGUAUUGAGGAUUUUCCAUUAAAAUUAAUUCUAACAAAUACAUUGUCAUUUUCAUGGAUGCAAUGUGCUUCUGAAUGAGAUCUAAGUUGUCUUCUAACAGUGCAUACCUUUGUGAUGAAACACUGACUGCAAAGUUCCAAUGGCAGUAUAUUCAACCCUAAAUAUUCCCAAAUUAUAUCAAAAAUAUGAGAAAGUUACAGAAAUUUAAUCCUUACUCCUAAUCCCAACACGAGGCUAGAAUAGUUCAAUUUCUUUAAAGAUACUGCAACAGCAGCUUUGCAGAGAAUUUUUUUGCUAAAUAGAGGAAACUUAAAGCUGUUCAUAAAGCUGUUCAUACCUGUUGUACUGGCAGUGCCAAGAACUCCAAAACCAUAACAUGUAUCACAUAUAAAUAUACCUUGGUCAUCAAAAGGUUGAUUUUCUUCUCAUGACUGAGAAGGAAAUAGAUGGAGAAAAAAACCAAAGAUGGGCUACUUUUUCUAUAAAAUAUGUUAAUGGCAUUAUUUUAUUUUUCAGCGAGAAGCAAGGAUGCCCACAAAGACAGACUUUUGGGAAUAUUUAGCAUUUAUAUAGGUCCUUACAUGUGAGUGUGAGAGUUUACCUCAGACUGUUUAGGACAUGAAAAACACAAAGUCUACAGCUGCUUGCUUAUGAAGUUCAGGCAAGCCCAGGCUCACCAGCAGAGUGGUUAUUUUAAGGGACUUUGGGUGACACUUCUGGCAGCUUGUAAUAAAACCUUCCUUUCAUACAUUGGUGCUAGCAGUAAGGUUCACCAUUUUCUGCUCAGAGCCUGCGUAUUCAGGAAACAUGGAACUGAAAUUCAGCCAGGCACACACAUCCUCCAGAACUGAAAGCAUGGUCUGUCAGCCAAAAAACACAAAACACUAAAACACACGUUUUAAAGUCUGUCUUACUCAGCAAAACAUUUGCAUGCUUUUUGACACAUCUCCAAUGACAGCAUUUCCUAAAUGCUAUCCUCAAGAAGUGAGGCCUCAUUUCGCCUAAAGAUGCAAUGUACUAACCUGAAUUCUCUGAAUUAUAUGGGAGUCCAAAUUCAUAUUUUAAAAGUCCCAGCUGGAGAUUAUCUGUAUUUCAGGAACCACGAUAACUUUACAAAUCCUGACCAAGGAGUUUAAUUUGCUUCUGAAAAGAGGUGCUUUAAAGAUGAUAAAUAUACAAUUGACAGUAAUAGAACCUCAGCAUGUAAUCCAGUACCUGUUGGGUCAGAAAGCAAGUCUGACACUAAAAUGAGCAGCUCUUUGCUGCUUGUAUGGAAAUGCUGAGAUCAUUCCAGGUGACCCUGUGCAAAGAUAAAAGGACCAACGGAGUUUUUAUAUGCACUAUUUUCUGAUUGUAAGAAAAAAAAUCCUAAAUGCACAGAUGUGAGAAAAUUAACUGGAAAAAUUACUGAAUAAUCAUACGAUUUGGUGGUGGUGGUGGUGGGGGGGGGUGUUUGUUGUUGCUGUAUUUAAAGAUUUUCUUUAAUAACAAGUAUUGAUAUUGUAGGAUGGUGCAAUAUAUAAUUUCAUACUGUGCACCCUGAAAUAUCCUGAGAUUAUUCAGUUCAUUUUUCUGAAAACUAUUACGUAUAUAUAAGCUACUUAAUUAUAUACAGGAAGUUAUCUUCUAGCAAACCCCUUCCACAUUCUGAACAUGAAAGAGUACACUAGAAUAUUGAUAGCCCAUCCACUAUUUUAAUGUUGGAAAACAUAAUCGUUUUCAGUAAUGACAGGGAGUCAUCAAGAAAAAAGAAAAAAAUAAAGGAAUGACUAUAUGAACUAAUUUUGAUUCUCUUUUGUACUGUCACAUGGUGAGCAAAUAAGAGCCUCACGUAUGUGAAAGCAGCAUUUACUCACUCUUGCAGGGAGAUCACUUACCCCCGAGCUGGGAUGGGCUCUUUGCUGUGACCUUUGUGAAGCCGCCCCCGCUGCCCCGCAGUUAACACGUUCUGAAGACCCUCCUUUGUCUCUGUGCCUCUGGUCACAUACUAGCAGCAGGCUCUGCUACAGUGGAAUUAAUUAAACAAACUGCUCCAAGCUUUAAUCUUUUAUACAGCAGCCAGUGCAACAGAAACUAUCUCAUGAGUCACGUAUUUGUACACAUCCAGCAGACAAAAUACAUGUGUGAAUGUGAUCUACAUGCCAAUUGAUAUUUUCACCCUGUUCCAGGAUAGCUGCUUCCUAAACCAACCAAGCAUGAGUGAAAAAAAAAACUAAUAGCAAGGACAGAUAUGUCCUUUUACAUUGAAUUCAAUGAUCAUGGUAAAACCCGCAACAACACAGAAAACAAAUCUCUCAGUAUACAGAAAAUUUCAAAAUCACCAGCACAGAACUAGCAGACAAACACCUAGACUUCACUAGAUCAGGGUUAAAAUGCCACAAAGUGGUGUUCUCCCACCCCACAACCUGGGCAAGGAAUGUGAGAUGGUAUCAGAUGAAACCUAGCAUUUUUAUAUGGGUUUUCCAGGACAUCUGAAACCCCUCAGGUGAGCACGUUUUGACAUCCUCUUGGCCCUUCAGUUUGCUCUCCCUGCAUGGCACCAGCUCUUGGGGCCUCUACAAACAUCAAAAACUCACAGGAGCACCUGGUGCAAGGUGACGGCUGCAACAGAUAAUGUCUUGUUAGUGGUUUAUACACUCCAGCCUUCUAGCAAACAUCUCCAGUUAUCAGUUCAGGCCAAACCCUUCCUUCCUUCCUAAAGUAAGAAAAUAGUGUCCAGGUUAGCACUGAAGAACAGCUCUGGUACCCUGGGGUAUGAGAUUUUACAUGAGUUGGGGAGUGAGUGUGGAAAAUGUUGUUAGCGAAUCUCCUCUCUACCGUUCAAGAAAGGCACUUAUUAUUACCAGAGAAAUUAGAAUACUUUAAGCUCACUAAGUACUUAAAAUGCAACUACUUCAAAAAGACAAACUACAACUGAAGUUUUCAGCAGUGGCUUUCAGAACCCCACCCUCAGCAAAGCAGAAAGAAAAGAAAUGGGAGCUCAGCACUUCUCACAAAAUAGGGCUGUGUAAAACCCCCAGGCCAAAAAUACUCUUCAGAGAUCCUCAGAGAACAUAAAAGAUCAAAACUUCAACCUCAGCCCUGUGUAUCUGAAUUGCUAAUAGAUGCUUAGUACUGUCUCCAUCUGCAGUAUCACACAAUGAGGAUUAGAGGUAAUCAUGUUUUUAAGUAGAGGGAGUGUUUCACAUUGCCAGAAGCAUCUUCAAAACUCAGAUUCAGAAUUAUGAUGUAGCAUUUUCUGUCUUGCCCUGAACAAGGUUUUCAAUGACCAGUUUAUGAACAGCUGCACCAAUACUGCGUUCUUCUUAUGUGCUAAAGAACACUGGGACAUUGCAAAACUACAAAGGCUUGUCCUGUCCAUUUAACCAGCAUGUCACAUGGAGACAAAGCAUAAUGCAGCUCUGUGAAAAGUCCACCCACAAACUUCAUUUCACACUAUAAGAAUGAGGCACUUGAGUUCUCUGUCUUCCUUCUCUCACAGGAGUUCACAUGACAGCAACUUAAAUAUUUUGGCGACUCAAGAAUAUAGCCUUUCAAAAAGUUACCUGUUUAAAAAAAGUAGUCAUAAAAGAUACUGCAAUAUUUCUUUCUUACUCAAAACCUUUGUAUUCAGUUUGUUUUAAAAUGCAGAUCAGUACUGAACAAUAAAAUAGAGUAGUUGUCAUUGAAGAGAAAAGCUGUAUCAUGUUAUUAAAACCUAACUCUAUAGAAUUGGAAUCCACAGCACUUUGAAAUGAAUUAAAAUGCUAUCACUAGAAAUAUAAUUUUUUUAUUAAUGAAACAUAAUGUUGUAAAUUGCAAGCUAAAGUUUAAAAAACACUGCAGUAUUUGUUAUCAAAGAGAAGACAUUUAUUUUAUCAAUUAAACCCAUAACAAAACCCCCAUUAUACUGACACAGCAGUACCAAAAAGGACAACCCCCUUUCCUGCAUGCACACUCAUGCACACAUACAAACACACACUCCUUUUACCCAAAGCUGGCAGAAAAGACUCACAGAUCCAAAGGGAGAGGCCAAAGGAGCAACAAACCCAAAUAUCAACUGUACAAAAAGACAUCCCUCAGCAAAGCUGUAUUUGGAAGACAGUGUCCUGCUGUUAACAUGCUGUGUUCAUUGAACUACACAAUCAUGUAGUAAAAAGAAAUUAAAAGUGAAGAUUUAAAACUAUUAUUUUAGGACUCCAUUUUCCCUAAGCAGAGAUGUAGGAAAUGGUGAGGACUGUAGUAAAGAGAUCAAAUAUUCCUGGAAGAAGAUCUUUAUAUAAACUAUUGAAUCAUUUAUAUUUGGUUUUCUACAGAUUUUAUAAGCCCCAAAAUAACCCUUUUAAGCAUUUAAUUUCAUAACAAAUUAAUUCUCCGCAGUGGGGAACUACAACAAACUUGGAACAAUUUUCUUAAAUGAAGAGACAGCUGAUGGCUCAGGUUUACCAACACAGCUCAUCCUCAGCCUCAGGAUUCACUGACAAACUUUGCCACUGAUGUCCCCAUCCAGCAAUCUCAACAAGGCCAACCACCUGCAGUUACCUUGAAAAAAUGGAAAAUAUCCUUCAGCCAGGCAAAGGGAAGCCAACAGCUUUACAGUAAUACCAGCAAUUAGUCCAGUCCUAUAACACACAUGUGCCAUAAACUCAAGAUAUUGGCAGGGUGGAUUCAAGGACACAGAUUAAGAACUUUUGACUAAAUUCACUUUUUCUGGAUGUUAUUUCAACAACAGUUACACCCAGAAACCCCUUUACCUAUGCAAAAUUAGCACAAAAUGUGGCAGUAACAGUAUGAAGAAUACUGACAUCAGUUAGUGGUCCUGCUAAGUCAUCUGUACAUAUGCUAAGGGCCCUGCUUUGGUCACUUAGUUUAAGCACAGGCACUGCUCCUUCCAUUGUACAAGGAUAUUUGGCAGAUGAAAACCUGCAGGAGUCAACAGACAUGAGCGUUGAUUUGGCACAGCCUGGUUUUUGGUAGUGGGGGCCUGCAGAGGUAGCUUCCGUAAGAAGCUGCUAGAAGGUCCCACCACGUCUGACAGAGCCAAUCCUCGAUGGCUCUGAAGAUAGAUUCACUGCUGACCCAGUUACAGAGGUUGGUAAUGGCCUGUGAUGACAUAUUUCAGAAGAAAAUCAAAACAGCGCCUGCGCAGUUUCUUCCCCAGAGGUGGGAAGGCACUGUGGCCACCACCGCGGCAGUGUGGCCCGUGGCAAUACGCUGCCAUGGCAGCUGCCAUCUCAGUGUGGCCCUUGCCUGCCCGGCCACCCCCAGCCAGCCACGCCGCGGGCAGAAGGAAAGGGAUGGCAGCAGCUUCUCCUUCCCGGCCCCGCCUGACCAGAGGCGCUGAGCGGCCCCAGUGCCGACAGCGGAAACACGGCGAGCGAUUCCCGGCACGGAGCCUGGCCGGGAUCAACUUCUCAGUGCUGCGGGGUCCUGCAGGAACCUUUGAGUUAGGGGAACUUGUUGGCAAUGGUACCUACAAGCAGCAGUUUUUCUUCUAGUCAGAGAAGAGGAGCAAGUGAGGACACAUGAGAAAACAUGGAGGCACCAAGGUCAAUGGAAAAGAAAGAAAGGGAGGAGGUGCUCCAAGCAUUGGAGCCAAGAUUCCUCUGCCAGCUGUAGUGAGGACUAUGGUGAAACAAACUGAGCCCCUGUGAUGCAUGAAGUCCAUGGGGGAUGCAGCGAUUCACUCACAGCCCGUGGGAGAAGUGCUCAUGCCAGAGCAGGUGGAUGCCAGAGAAAGCUGUGAUCGAGUGGGGGACCCGAAUGGAGAGAGAGGGCCGCUGCUUCCAGAGACAUAGAAAGAGAGCCUUUGCUUCCCAACUAGAGCAGCCUAUUCUUAAAAGAUUACAUCCCAUGGAUGAGUGACCCACACCACAACACUUUUGGGACUACUGCUUGCCCGUGGGAGAGACUUCACAGCACAGCAGAAAAAAGACUCCUCUCCCUGAGCAAUCGGAAAAAGAUCUCAAGUGAAAACUGACCAAAACCCCUGGGCCCUGUCUCCCUGUGCUGUCAAUAGGAAGAAGGGAGGGGCUGGGGGGAAAAAAAUGUGUUUUAAAGGCUUAUUUUACUUGUUAUUAUCUUCCUCUGAUUCUGUUAAUAAUAAAUUUACUUAAUACCUUUAAAUUUGAACAUGUUUUGCCUUUAGAAUGCUCUUCUCCCAGUCCUUAACUCAUGAGCCCUUCAUAAUUUUUUUUCCCCCUCUCCUCUGCCCAACUGUAGCAGGAGAGGGUAAGUGAACAACUUUCAUGGGUGUCUGGCUUUUGGCCAGUAUCAAACCACAGCAGCAUGCCAGUCCUCAUAGUCAGGAAAAAGAGCUCAUUUAAACGUCAGGACUAAAUGAGGCCUUUUAAGACCCAUCUCUAUGACAUGCAGGUGAGGACAAUGAAGUUACCAUAACAAACCUUGCACAGAUGCAGCUGGAGCAGGGUGUGGCCAUUAGAGCCCUCUGAAAUCUGCAGACAGCCAGAUGGGAAUAGGGUAAUCCCACUCUCAAGGAAAAAAAACAAAAACAAAAAAAAAAAAAAAAAAAAACAACAAAAAAAACCACCCAAACAAAAAAGAGAACAUUGACAUUACCAGGUGCAGCUUUAAGCAGGUGCCAGUCUUCCUCAGCUGAAGUAAUUGAACAGAAUUUAAGGAAUGAAAAACAGCUUACCCAGGUCUUGACAUUGACUUUGUCAUGUUAAUUAGCCAGAUUCAAUCCCAGUAUUUGCUUGAAUCAAAGCAACAAAGAUAUAUGAACAUCACCAUCAGCUCAGGGUGCUGAAAUUCCAGCAGGAAUACAGCAUCAGGCUGUAUUUUCCAGAACACUACUGCAGCCCCACCUCCUUUCCUGAGGUAAGAUAUGCCUUUACUACUGAUUAAUUGAUUCCUAAGAGCAUGAGAGCUGAACAAUAUAUACAUUUACACAAACUAUACUAUAUAGUGUGUGAAAGCAAAGCAAAGCUUUGAACCCAAGGCAGCAGCCUCUGAAGGAACCAGAUGGGCUCAUGAAUAGGUGGAAUUACAGGUCACAGAGAUACAGUGGAAUUCAGCAUCACAGUGUACAUCUCUGACAAAGUUUUCACAAAAACUAUCUCAAGGUAACAAGGGUUUAUGAAAGUAAAACCACCAACAGCAUAGCAAUGGGCAAGAAAUUUGAUUGUAACCUGUAAAUCUAACAUCAAAGGUCUUACAAAGCCACUGAUGGCAGGUGGACACUUAACAUAAAUGCGAUAUUGUAUGCCUAAUAUAAACAUCUCUCUUAAUCUCUUCUUUCACAUGCAUAAGUAACUCAUACUGAAUGUAAAUGCCAUAUAUCUAGUAAACAAUUAAUUUAUAAUCAUCUUAAAAUGUAUUUUUAUAGUAUUUUUUUAAAGAUCAGAUAAUGCAAAGAAGAAGAGAUAAAAAGGAUACAAAGGCUUACCUAGGUGAUAAUUUGAGUAUCCUACUGAUAGCUUAUAUAACAUAAUGGAGUUUAUAAAAAAAAAAAAAUUAACAGUAUGUAAGUGAGAAAGGAUAAGUAGUGUGAUAGGAUCAAGACUAAAACUCAGGAAAUCCCCAUUAAGGCAGUUCAUCCCAAGUUUACCAUUGUAUAAAACAGCAUAAGAGAGUUUACUCUUGGGUAUACAGUAUACAAGUAUAUCAAACAGCUAUAACAUAAAAGUAUAAUAUUCUCUUUCCAGUACAGAUGUGUUAAACCAUUGGUUUUGGCUCCAGAUGUGAUUUUUACUCCCACCAGACUCUGGGAAAGGCCACAUCCUAUGUUUUGAACUUGUCAUUUCGGGACAUAAAAUGAGAACUAGUUAUGAAAUUCACUUUCCAAAACCUGCAGUAGCCAGCAUAAUAGGAAUUCUGAAUUUACAACACUACCUCUAUUCUAUAGCUUGUUGGGCAAGCUUGACUUCAAAAGUUGAAGGUUAGGCCAGGACAAGCUGGGCCUUCUGAUGUACGUGUGACAGUGUCUGGUGUCACAAGCAGCCUUAUGCCUUAGACAGGCCACACUUUCAAAAACUGCUUUCAUUUUCCCUCCACCCCUAGAGAGCACAUUAAAUGCACACACACCAUGGAAAAUUCAGCUUAGCAAUAGAAGCUAACAAAACAUGAAAAGUUAUUACUGGUAAGCCCCUAACAGGAAAACUACCCUGGCCUUCUUAAUGCCAUGCUGGUGUAUACACAUGGACAUAUAUCUAAGAUAGUCUAGAACAAUUUAAAAAGAAAUGUUUGCCUCUA